CCCGCUACCGCCCCUUCUUGAGCGCUGGAAUAAGCCUGCCCAUGCCUUUAUAAGGCAUAGGGACACCGCUCUUUUUUCAUGAAAAGAUCCUGGUUAGGGUCAGGAGCUAUUUAUCCUCCACAGUAACCAAGCAGCUCCAAAACACCAUAUGUUUUCACAUACCAUUUUAGCUUAGUAAUCGCAUCUGUCUUCUGAUAAGAGUAGGCUGUGAGAAGAAAUUCUGCUGACAAAUAGAUCUGCUGCCACAGUGGGCAUAGCCCAUGGGGCUCUCAUACAGCUAAAUGAUGUUGAAGUUUUACCCACCUGCUGUACAUGAAGUUGAAACAGAAUACUGAUAAAGCACUCUGAAGUAUAACUACGUUUGUAUGUCUAAAAUGAAUCACUUCCUGCACUGUUACAACAUAACCUGUAGAAGGUAUUAGUAAAAUAAGAUUUUGCAGGUUAAAGAGGAGCUGUGCUGAUGGUGUGUUUCUGUGAAAAGCAUUGGAGGUUCUUCUUGGUUUUGUGCCAAGUCUGCUGGAUCAUCAGGAUUUUAUUAUCCUUUGUCCACCUCUUUAGGCUUGGCUCUAUGAUUUUUAUAAUAUUCAGCUGAAUUAUAAAGCAACAUCGCUCCAGGACCUGGACUGCUAGUAGGAAACAGCACCAAGCAUUUUCAAAAGGGACCAGAUACACCUGCAUACCACAUGCUGUGAAAUCACAACUUAGAAAAGAAGGUUUCUCUGCUCUGACAAAAGUCCAGUGAUACUUACAGGGGGAAAAAAAAAUGUGCUUUUUCUGAUCAGAAAACAAGGAAACCAAAAUCAACGUUCCAGGCUGAAAUGUAAAAGUAUCAGUACAAAGUAAAUGCAAUGACUCAUCAAAGACAGGAAAGCAGUGUAAGCUGAGACAUACAAAAGCAAAGAGGAAGGAGGGAGA